UCUGCCGGUAUUCUUGGUCAAGUGAAGCUUGAGACUAACCUUGCUGCCGGUGGUCUUAGCAGACUUUGCUGUCAAGGUAUUCAAUGAGACAACCCUGUGAUUUAGUUCACCCAAAGGCACUUAAUAUGUUGCCAAUAAGUAAUGUGACUUGUGAUCACUUUCCUAAAUGUGAUCACCAUCGAAAUUUUGUUUUCUAAAUUAUAUUUACCAUAAUGUAGGUAGUUGGAGAGCUCAUUCAAGUGAGUCAACUUGGUUGGAGACAAACUGGGUCUGGAGUGAUGCUAUGGAUUUACAUCCUGAUGGAAUGACCCAUCUGUCUUCUUUCAAUUUGAAUAUGUAAACCGUUAAACAUGGUAUGUGAUUGCAAUUAUCUAUUAGCCCUGCCUAAAUUGAUCACCAAAAUAAUAGCUCAAAAGUCUAACUGAAAGAAGCAG
rnacentral:lncRNA from 1 species